rnacentral:lncRNA from 1 species
UUUUUCCACUUUUUUUUUCUGUUUCAGAGAAUUCAGGAACUGGGCUUUGGUUGACAAAGAAUAAACAACCCUAUCCAGGUCUAGAGGGCCAGGUCUUCUCAUCCAUGGGCACACACCCUGCUGCAGGUUCUGGACAGUCAUGGGGAACUCACCUGGAGGUUAACUCAGAGGUGCUCAGCACUGUGUCCCACGGGUGCUUAAUCAUUUCAAGGAUACUCAGUGUUCUCACUUGGGAAGGAAUAGCCAGUACUUUUGCCCUGCUUGCCUUCUUCAGAGCAUUUGUAAUUUUAGAAUCCUCAGUGGAGAAGAAGAUGCAGACAGCUUUGAUUCAUGCUGAUACGGCAGAUUUUCUGCUGCUUUUCCACAAAACAUUUCCUUCAUUUGGAAGAAAGGUCCUGAUCCCUGGGCAGAUAAAUUUGCUGCUUCUGC